UGAUCUUCUUGUAGCAGCGUUUACACCCUAGAUUAACAACCUUCAGCUUCAUUUUCGUAACCUGCGAUAUUAUCAAUCAAAAAAUUAGAAAUCAUUGCAAGAAUUAUCCAAUAAUGUCAGUACGUGGUGCGGAGAAAACAGCAGAUGAAAAGAACAAGAAAACAAAAACCUCACUCCAGGUUCCAAAAUAAGUUUGAUAUUAUAAUAUACUAUUUUGACAACAAACAGUUUUCAAAACAUGUUUUUACUUUUUUUUUUUAAGAUGUUAUCGCUUGUUUUCUAUGGAUAAUUUUUAAAAAUAAUUAUAAGGAAAAUAAAAAAUUAUAUAUAAAAAUUAUUUCAAUCGAAACCAAUAAAAUUCUAGUCAUCUGACGAGUAAUAAAUAACAGAAGGCCAAACCCGAAUGAUAUAUACACGGCGGAUAUAUAUAAACUAGCGAGAAAAUAUGAAAUUCAAAUGAAAAAAUCAAAUGCGUGAAGGAAGUGAAGAGAUUAGAGGAACAGAGACCUCUGCCAUAGCUGUGAGAGAUGGGAUCCUAGCUCAGAAUUCAGAAUUGAGUCGAAGGAAGAAAAAGAUUGGUUUAUUAAGUGGCUACGCUGAGGUGACCCCCUUUAAAUAGACCAAACUUUUUUACUCAACAGAAGUCAACCCAAUGAAAUGCGGA
rnacentral:lncRNA from 1 species